GUGUCAGCCGCCGCGGUAAUACGAAGGGGGCUAGCGUUGCUCGGAAUCACUGGGCGUAAAGGGUGCGUAGGUGGAUUUUUAAGUCAGGGGUGAAAUCCUGGAGCUCAACUCCAGAACUGCCUUUGAUACUGGGAAUCUUGAGUUCGGGAGAGGUGAGUGGAACUGCGAGUGUAGAGGUGAAAUUCGUAGAUAUUCGCAAGAACACCAGUGGCGAAGGCGGCUCACUGGCCCGAUACUGACACUGAGGCACGAAAGCGUGGGGAGCAAACAGGAUUAGAUACCCUGGUAGUCC
rnacentral:rRNA from 1 species